UGGGAACGCGAAGAACCUUACCAGGGCUUGACAUCCUACUAAUGAAGCAGAGAUGCAUUAAGUGCCCUUCGGGGAAAGUAGAGACAGGUGGUGCAUGGUUGUCGUCAGCUCGUGUCGUGAGAUGUUGGGUUAAGUCCCGCAACGAGCGCAACCCCUAUUGUUAGUUGCUACGCAAGAGCACUCUAGCGAGACUGCCGUUGACAAAACGGAGGAAGGUGGGGACGACGUCAAAUCAUCAUGCCCCUUAUGUCCUGGGCCACACACGUAAUACAAUGGCGUUAAACAGAGGGAUGCUAAGCCGUGAGGUGGAGCGAGCCCCUAAAAGGCGUCUCAGUUCGGAUUGCAGGCUGCAACUCGCCUGCAUGAAGUCGGAAUCGCUAAUAAUCGCGGAUCAGAAUGCCGCGGUGAAUACGUUCCCGGGUCUUGUACACACCG
rnacentral:rRNA from 1 species